UCUAAUUUUCUCUUUCCUAGUGGUACCUCACCUCAGACGGGCUGGUUUUCCAUUUUAAGACUGGGAUGAGACACCACAAAACAGGGCAGGUGAUACGGUUUGGAUAUUUUGUCCCCUCCAAAUCUCAUGUUGAAAUGUGAUGUCCAAUGUUGGAGGGGAGCCUGGUGAGACGUGUUUGGAUCAUGGGAGCAGAUUCCUCAUGAAUGUCCUGGUGCGGUCCUCGCAGUAAUAAGAUGGUUCACACCUGAGACCUGACUAAGUACCCAAGCUUCAGGAAGAUUCUUGGGAUGGAGAAGACAAGGAAGAAAUCUAGGCAUGGUGAAAUGGAAAACAAUUAAACUCAGAAGGAAUUUGAAUUCGUUUUUGGCAAGGACCCUCCACGUUUUCCUAGGCUUGCUGCCUGAACAUCAAUUCAAUCCGCCUCUUGCAGGGCGUGGUGGCCCACACCUGUAAUCCCAGCACUUUGGGAGGCCA